rnacentral:rRNA from 1 species
GGCCAUUGCUAUCGGAGUCCGAUUUAGCCAUGCUAGUUGUACGAGUUUAGACUCGUAGCAUAUAGCUCAGUAACACGUGGCCAAACUACCCUACAGACCGCAAUAACCUCGGGAAACUGAGGCCAAUAGCGGAUAUAACUCUCAUGCUGGAGUGCCGAGAGUUAGAAACGUUCCGGCGCUGUAGGAUGUGGCUGCGGCCGAUUAGGUAGAUGGUGGGGUAACGGCCCACCAUGCCGAUAAUCGGUACGGGUUGUGAGAGCAAGAACCCGGAGACGGUAUCUGAGACAAGAUACCGGGCCCUACGGGGCGCAGCAGGCGCGAAACCUUUACACUGCACGACAGUGCGAUAGGGGGACUCCGAGUGCGAGGGCAUAUAGCCCUCGCUUUUCUGUACCGUAAGGUGGUACAGGAACAAGGACUGGGCAAGACCGGUGCCAGCCGCCGCGGUAAUACCGGCAGUCCAAGUGAUGGCCGAUAUUAUUGGGCCUAAAGCGUCCGUAGCCGGCCGGACAAGUCCGUUGGGAAAUCGACGCGCUCAGCGCGUCGGCGUCCAGCGGAAACUGUCCGGCUUGGGGCCGGAAGACCUGAGGGGUACGUCCGGGGUAGGAGUGAAAUCCUGUAAUCCUGGACGGACCACCAAUGGGGAAACCACCUCAGGAAGACGGACCCGACGGUGAGGGACGAAAGCUAGGGUCUCGAACCGGAUUAGAUACCCGGGUAGUCCUAGCUGUGAACGAUGCUCGCUAGGUGUGCCGUAGGCUACGAGCCUGCGCUGCGCCCUAGGGAAGCCGAGAAGCGAGCCGCCUGGGAAGUACGUCUGCAAGGAUGAAACUUAAAGGAAUUGGCGGGGGAGCACCACAACCGGAGGAGCCUGCGGUUU